UUCGGUAUCCCUGUGUUGCUUACCUAUCGAAAGGAAUUCGAAGGUCUCGUUCGUCCCUCUCCGCCCCCGGCCCCUAGCGGGUUGCGGGGUGGACAUCAGGCACGCACCGUGUUCCCGGCAAGCCUCGUUCGGCUGCCUCGGCCCACGGUGUGCUCUGCCCGUUCUCUCGGACGCGGAACGUUACGCGCGGGCGUGGUGUCUGUCACAGGCUCCGUGCGCCCGAGCAACUCACGUUGUCCCUCGAUGCGAACGACAGCCGUGCCCGUCUUGAACGCCCAUCAGGCCUCGCGGCCCGUCGGGCGUCAUGCGGGCGUCGGCGUCGCGAAGGAACGCUACCUGGUUGAUCCUGCCAGUAGUCAU
rnacentral:misc_RNA from 1 species